AGGAACACCGGUGGCGAAGGCGGCCAACUGGGCUUUAACUGACGCUGAGGCUCGAAAGUGUGGGGAGCAAACAGGAUUAGAUACCCUGGUAGUCCACACCGUAAACGAUGAUUACUAGGUGUGGGAGGAUUGACCCCUUCCGUGCCGCAGUUAACACAAUAAGUAAUCCACCUGGGGAGUACGACCGCAAGGUUGAAACUCAAAGGAAUUGACGGGGGCCCGCACAAGCAGUGGAGUAUGUGGUUUAAUUCGAAGCAACGCGGAGAACCUUACCAGGUCUUGACAUCCUGCUAACGAGGUAGAGAUACGUUAGGUGCCCUUCGGGGAAAGCAGAGACAGGUGGUGCAUGGUUGUCGUCAGCUCGUGUCGUGAGAUGUUGGGUUAAGUCCCGCAACGAGCGCAACCCCUGCUAUUAGUUGCUACGCAAGAGCACUCUAAUAGGACUGCCGUUGACAAAACGGAGGAAGGUGGGGACGACGUCAAAUCAUCAUGCCCCUUAUGACCUGGGCUACACACGUACUACAAUGGCCGUCAACAGAGAGAAGCAAAACUGCGAAGUGGAGCAAAACUCUAAAAACGGUCCCAGUUCGGAUCGUAGGCUGCAACCCGCCUACGUGAAGUUGGAAUUGCUAGUAAUCGCGGAUCAUCAUGCCGCGGUGAAUACGUUCCCGGGCCUUGUACACACCGCCCGUCACACCAUGGGAGCCGGUAAUACCCGAAGUCAGUAGUCUAACCGCAAGGGGGACGCUGCCGAAGGUAGGAUUGGCGACUGGGGUGAAGUCGUAACAAGGUAGCCGUAA
rnacentral:rRNA from 1 species